rnacentral:rRNA from 1 species
GACUCUGGGAUAGCCACCGGAGACGGUGAUUAAUACCGGAUAUGACCACUCUAGGCAUCUAGUGGUGGUGGAAAGUUUUUCGGUCCAGGAUGUGCUCGCGGCCUAUCAGCUUGUUGGUGAGGUAAUGGCUCACCAAGGCUUUGACGGGUAGCCGGCCUGAGAGGGUGACCGGUCACACUGGGACUGAGACACGGCCCAGACUCCUACGGGAGGCAGCAGUGGGGAAUAUUGGACAAUGGGCGGAAGCCUGAUCCAGCAACGCCGCGUGAGGGAUGACGGCCUUCGGGUUGUAAACCUCUUUCAGUACCGACGAAGCGAAAGUGACGGUAGGUACAGAAGAAGGACCGGCCAACUACGUGCCAGCAGCCGCGGUAAUACGUAGGGUCCGAGCGUUGUCCGGAAUUAUUGGGCGUAAAGGGCUCGUAGGCGGUUUGUCGCGUCGGGAGUGAAAACAGCGGGCUUAACUCGUUGCUUGCUUUCGAUACGGGCAGACUAGAGGUAUGCAGGGGAGAAUGGAAUUCCUGGUGUAGCGGUGAAAUGCGCAGAUAUCAGGAGGAACACCGGUGGCGAAGGCGGUUCUCUGGGCAUUACCUGACGCUGAGGAGCGAAAGUGUGGGGAGCGAACAGGAUUAGAUACCCUGGU